GACGAACGCUGGCGGCGUGCUUAACACAUGCAAGUCGAACGGAAAGGCCCUGCUUGCAGGGUACUCGAGUGGCGAACGGGUGAGUAACACGUGGGUGAUCUGCCCUGCACUUCGGGAUAAGCCUGGGAAACUGGGUCUAAUACCGGAUAGGAGCCAUUUUUAGUGUGAUGGUUGGAAAGUUUUUUCGGUGUAGGAUGAGCUCGCGGCCUAUCAGCUUGUUGGUGGGGUAAUGGCCUACCAAGGCGGCGACGGGUAGCCGGCCUGAGAGGGUGGACGGCCACAUUGGGACUGAGAUACGGCCCAGACGCCUACGGGAGGCAGCAGUGGGGAAUAUUGCACAAUGGGCGCAAGCCGGAUGCAGCGACGCCGCGUGGGGGAUGACGGCCUUCGGGUUGUAAACUCCGUUCGCUAGGGACGAAGCUUUUUGUGACGGUACCUAGAUAAGAAGCACCGGCUAACUACGUG
rnacentral:rRNA from 1 species